UAUACGACCGUACCGCAAACCGACACUGGUGCGCGAGAUGAGUAUUCUAAGGCGCUUGAGAGAACUCAGGAGAAGGAACUCGGCAAAUUGACACCGUAACUUCGGAAGAAGGUGUGCCCUAUUAGUGUGUAGUGAACAACGAAGCAUGAAUGGGUUGCAAAAAAUCGGUGGCUGCGACUGUUUAUUAAAAACACAGCACUCUGCAAACACGAAAGUGGACGUAUAGGGUGUGACGCCUGCCCGGUGCUGGAAGAUUAAAUGAUGGGGUGCAAGCUCUUGAUUGAAGUCCCAGUAAACGGCGGCCGUAACAAUAACGGUCCUAAGGUAGCGAAAUUCCUUGUCGGGUAAGUUCCGACCUGCACGAAUGGCGUAACGAUGGCCACACUGUCUCCUCCUGAGACUCAGCGAAGUUGAAAUGUUUGUGAUGAUGCAAUCUCCCCGCGGAAAGACGGAAAGACCCCAUGAACCUUUACUGUAGCUUUGUAUUGGACUUUGAACAGAUCUGUGUAGGAUAGGUGGGAGGCUUUGAAGCAGGGUCGCUAGAUCUUGUGGAGCCAACGUUGAAAUACCACCCUGGUGUGUUUGAGGUUCUAACCUAGGUCCAUUAUCUGGAUCGGGGACAGUGCAUGGUAGGCAGCUUGACUGGGGCGGUCUCCUCCCAAAGCGUAACGGAGGAGUUCGAAGGUACGCUAGUUACGGUCGGACAUCGUGACGAUAGUGCAAUGGCAUAAGCGUGCUUAACUGCGAGACUGACAAGUCGAGCAGAUGCGAAAGCAGGACAUAGUGAUCCGGUGGUUCUGUAUGGAAGGGCCAUCGCUCAACGGAUAAAAGGUACUCUGGGGAUAACAGGCUGAUACCGCCCAAGAGUUCAUAUCGACGGCGGUGUUUGGCACCUCGAUGUCGGCUCAUCUCAUCCUGGGGCUGUAGCCGGUCCCAAGGGUAUGGCUGUUCGCCAUUUAAAGAGGUACGUGAGCUGGGUUUAAAACGUCGUGAGACAGUUUGGUCCCUAUCUUCCGUGGGCGCUGCAGAUUUGAGGAAGCCUGCUCCUAGUACGAGAGGACCGGAGUGGACACACCUCUGGUGUAUCGGUUGUCACGCCAGUGGCAUUGCCGAGUAGCUAAGUGUGGAAGAGAUAACCGCUGAAAGCAUCUAAGCGGGAAACUCGUUUCAAGAUGAGAUCUGCCGGGGCCUUGAGCCCCCUAAAGAGUCGUUCAAGACCAGGACGUUGAUAGGUCAGGUGUGGAAGUG
rnacentral:rRNA from 1 species